rnacentral:rRNA from 1 species
AGUGGCGGACGGGUGAGUAACGCGUGGGCAACCUGCCUUACACAGGGGGACAACAGCUGGAAACGGCUGCUAAUACCGCAUAUGCGCACAGGGCCGCAUGGCCUGGUGCGGAAAACUCCGGUGGUGUAAGAUGGGCCCGCGUCUGAUUAGGUAGUUGGCGGGGUAACGGCCCACCAAGCCGACGAUCAGUAGCCGGCCUGAGAGGGUGGACGGCCACAUUGGGACUGAGACACGGCCCAAACUCCUACGGAAGGCAGCAG